rnacentral:rRNA from 1 species
GACGAACGCUGGCGGCGUGCUUAACACAUGCAAGUCGAACGAAGUGGCGAGCGUGUGAGUAACGCGUAAUAAACCUGCCCUUCAGAGGGGGACAACAGUUGGAAACGGCUGCUAAUACCGCAUACUGAAGGAGGGGAGUGCGUCUGAUGAGCUAGUUGGAGGGGUAACGGCCCAACAAGGCGAUGAUCAUGAGCCGGUCUGAGAGGAUGAACGGCCACACUGUGACUGAGACACGGCCCAGACUCCUACGGGAGGCAGCAGGGGGGAAUAUUGCGCAAUGGGGGCAACCCUGACGCAGCCAUACCGCGUGAAUGAAGAAGGCCUUCGGGUUGGAAAGUUCUUUCGGUAGCGAUGCGUUAACUACAGAAGAAGCACCGGCUAACUCCGUGCCAGCAGCCGCGGUAAUAC